rnacentral:rRNA from 1 species
UAAGACAGAGGCCUCGAGCGUUAGGCGGAAUCACUGGGCUUAAAGCGUGUGUAGGUGGAUGUCUAAGUGCCUUGUGAAAUCCCACAGCUCAACUGUGGAACUGCUUGGCAUACUGGAUGUCUUGAGCCACUUAGGGGUUACCGGAACAAACGGUGGAGCGGUGAAAUGCGUAGAUAUCGUUUGGAACGCCAAUGGUGAAAACAGGUAACUGGGAGUGUGCUGACACUGAGACACGAAAGCCAGGGGAGCGAACGGGAUUAGAUACCCCGGUAGUCCUGGCCGUAAACGAUGUCCACUAGAUCGUGGCAGCUCUGACGUUGUCAUGGUCGAAGCAAAAGUGCUAAGUGGACCGCCUGGGAAGUACGGUCGCAAGGCUA